rnacentral:rRNA from 1 species
UCCGUAGGGGUAACCUGCGGAUGGAUCAUUUCGAUGAAAAACCUUUUUUCUGAGGUGUGGCUCGCACCUGUCCAACUAAACUUGAGCUACCUUUUUCAACACGGUUGCAUCGGUCGGCCUGUCAAACAGCGCGCGUAACAGCGCUUUGGGCGACGAGUCGACACUUUACACAAAAACACGUUUGAUCACCUAGGAUUUGAAGGAAAAAAGUUCAUUUUUAUAAUGGAUCCGACUGGUAAUGCGGUCGUCUAAAUUUAAAAAACAACUUUUGGCAACGGAUCUCUUGGUUCUCCCAUCGAUGAAGAACGCAGCGAAUUGCGAUAAGUAAUGUGAAUUGCAGAAGUGAAUCAUCGAAUCUUUGAACGCACCUUGCGCUCCCGGCAGAUCUAAUCUGGGGAGCAUGCCUGUUUGAGGGCCGCGAAUUGUUUCGAACGACCGCUUUUUUCAUUAAAAGAGGUCGGAUCGGUAUUGAGGGUCUAUUGCCAUUCACCGUGGCUCCCUCGAAAUGCAUUAGCGCAUCCAUUUGAUAGGCAAAGACGGACGAAAGCUCACUAUUUCGCCCUCUUUUUCCCUGCCGGGUUUUGAUAAUAUCAGGACUUCGGAGGCGAAGAAAGGGCAAGAGCUGGACGCAACGACUUUGCUGUUUGGCGUGCUUCUGAAACCCGCCCAUUGCCUCUGCAAAGAGGAAGGGAUUUUAUUCAAUUCAUCGGCCUCAGAUUGGUAGGACUACCCGCUGAACUUAAGCAUAUCAAUAAGCGGAGGA